GGGACCACAGGUGGUGGGAGAAGGGUGAGAACCUCAGCUGGAGCAGUGAUCUGACAGGUCGCCUCUCUCUAGAGCAAGCUGAGCUGGCUGCACACAUACAAGGAACUUAACAAAUACACACAUCAAACACUCCUGAGGAAUUAGAAGAAGAAUGUGCAGAGAGAUCAAUCAGAAAACAUCAGAUAAACUCCCUUGCUCUUGGAAGACAGUUCAUGAGGAAUUCUAAGGUAUUUACCACGACCUAUGGAAUGCCAGACACCAGAAAGUUCUCCAUGGGCAUGCACAUUCUGCUUAAGAACUGGAGAGCAGUUUUGCAAAGUAACAGCAAGGCAUCAGGAUUCCAAUCUGGAUGUACUUGAUGUCGCCUGGCUUGAAAAAUCAAGUUCAGAAAUUGGUCAGAUUCCCAAAGACCCAUGUGAUUGUUCUUACUGCUCCCAAUACUCAUCAUAGAGCUGAAAUUCACCUGGUAUCUCUGUCCAUUUCAGUCACAUGCAGAAAGGGGUUAUGAUAAUUGUACAUGGUGGUUAAGCCAAUAAGAAAGGUGAGUUCUGGCUUACUCUUCAUGCUAAUAUGGUUAAAUUACUCUCUAGACUAUUGGUCACAUUCUGACCAACCAGUAUCCAUUUCUCCAAGAAAUAAUAUGUAUAGGUCAACCUGCAUUACCAGGAAAUAAAAUGGCAAUCAAGUUUUCAGAAUCAGGGCUUCCAAAUAUUUGAUAGUUUCCAAAUAUCAAAAACUAUGUCACAUUUACAAACCACUUGGAUAAUUGAGAAGCAGACUUGCCGGUCAGUCUUCCAAAAUUAUUUGUAUAUCAGGAAGGUAAGCAUCCAGCUUAGUCAUUAGGAAGUCUAUCCAUUUUGAUCUGAGUGAAAAAUCACAUAUUGCUUCUGAAAACAAAGGAAAUGAUUGCAAGAAGCUGAUUGUUUGCUGCUCUUUUACUAGAAGUGAAACCUUUCUAAUUUUGUCUUUGGCGACAACCACUAUCACGACAGACAGAGAACAUGUGGUGUGCUGUGGCCCCUCCAAGGGUUUUCAAUGGCUGUUUCUUAUUUUUCAAGAGUAAAACACAUGGCACAUUACUUAUCAGGAAGAGUUCUCCUUUGCUUAUCAGUCUUCCUAUUGUCUUCACUCUCCCUUCCUCCUUUAUUGCUGCAGCUAUUUACUCUUUCAUCAAUACAGGAAGAUGAUUAUGUUAAAUUAUACUGACCCAAAAAUCUGGUCUCAGUCACUCAUGUUCUCAUGCUUUUAAAAACCUAGAGAGGAAGUAGUAGCCUAUUUCAAAAUGUUCAGCAGACCUUAUGGUUUGCUGGAAUAGAGGACUAUUUCAAGGAUAUGGACUCACUUCUAGCAGUAUUUUGUUGCAAAUCUCUCUUACUAACAUGAUUGCUGUGUCCAUAAGGGCAUAGCAGGAGAGAAAGCAACUAGAAUAAGUAAUCACCAAAUAAAAGAAUGAAGGGGCAUGGUUUUAAGAAGCGAUAAUGGACAGACACCAGAGGAAUUUAUGUUAGAGUCUUUUCAGAGCAGAUAAUUAAUACAUUGCAUAUGGAAUCAACUCAUCGAGGGAUGCAAUGGAAGUAAUUAGUAUGAAGUUUUAAUAAAUGAGUUAGACAUGUAUUUAGAGAAAAGAGAAUGCUGUGAUGUACAAUUAAUAACUCUGAGGCUGGGAUGAAGCAUAUAGGACAUGGGCUUUCUAGCUGCUUUUCCCUAUUCCCUCAUCAGCCAGUCAGCUAAGAAUGUGCCUUAGCAAACACUUUCUACAGUGGGUUCCCAGGAGUGUCUUGUCUGUGGAAAUCAGGGGAAUCUAAAAACAGCUCUGUUCUGUUUCAGAAAGGUAAAUGAGCCUGCUAUGGGAAGCAGAGGUGGGAAAGACUUUAGACAAACUUAUUACAAGCUCUAGCACACACUUAGUGACUGGAAUUGUGACUUAAAACUUCAUACUGCCCAGUGUCCCUAGAGCCCAAGAAUAAUAGAUAAAAUACAAGGAGAGGACAUUUAAUUAAGCACUGUAAAUGAAUGGCAGUAUGGCUCAUCCUGCAUUGUCAUUCUUGUUCUAUCCCCACUCAAAGGAAUGUAGGGAAACAAGAGCAUAAAUUGGGGUUGUCAGCCAUAAACAUGUAUACACACAGUCUCUUGCUUUGGGGCAAAAUGUCUCUGCCAUUACAGCAAGAAUUUCCCAAUGAAUGAACAAAAGGUACAAUCUCGAUUGCGAGGCAACUCUUAUCACCCAUGUAGCCAAACACGUUUCCUUUAAGUAAGUGUUGAACCCAUUAACUACAUUUUAUCUAUGACCUGCUGAGUAAAACAAAUUCUGCUUUGGGCUUAAUUGCUUGCAUGAAGUUGGGUUGAGGCAUUGAGAAGUAACUAAGAAAGUCUUGAAAGGUCUAGAGAAGAAACAAGUCACCUAAAGAAUCCAUCUCCCCCAGUAACAUUUCAUGGUGGUGCCUGAUAUUCUAAGAUUUGCAAUCAAUUAUUUUAAUAUUGAAAGGCUCUUCUGGUCGUUGGGUCCCUUGUCAAAAUGUGUUUAUCUAUUAAAACGGGUAAAAAUUAAGGUUUACCACAUAUAUUACACUAUGCUCUUACUAGUCACUCAAUAUCUCAUUUAACUGCUAGGGAGAUCCAAGAAGAUAGGUUUUAGUGAUAGCAUUUUAUAGAUGACAAAACUGUCUCAAACUACUCAGCUUUAGUGACACAGCUGAUCCUCUAACUCAGCUGUUCCUGGUACCAAGCUCACAGCAAUUUAUCUCAGUGAUCUCUGAAAGCAAAAUCCCAUGGAAUCAAAUUGUAAAAUGGAUACUCAGAGGAAGCAAAGGUGCAAGGAGGGGAAACAGUGGUUGUCUGGAAGCAAGAAGGAAUGGUAGCAAACAAGUCUCUCUUUCUCUCUCUCUUCAGUUAGCGUGAUUAGCCCUCUAACGUCUUUGAUAUGUCUGCUUUAUGAAUGACAACAAAAAGAAAUACAAGUUGUGAUUUGGCCGAAUAUUUCAUUUCCUUUGGGAUGAAAUGUUAAAAUACUGGCUGUGUCUUCUUUGAAAUAGAGAGAGUUCAAUGUUAUUAAAUGACACAUAAGACAUUUUAGAAAAACAAUUAGUUGUCACUUUCCCCUCCUUUUUGUGUUCUUUCUCUGCAAGUAUAAUUUUAAGCAAUGUGUCACCUGAGAGAAAGAGAACACCUUAAUGCCCCUUAAAUAAUAUAUAUGAGGAAGGACCCCCAAAAAUCAUCAUUAUUUUCUGGAGGAGAGAGCCCUUAUAGUACAAUCUUUCCUGACGUAGUGAGUGUUCUAGGAACUUAUCUGUAUCACUGUACCAACUGGCAUUGUUGUGAGAGGCUGAGUUGGCCUCAGUGAACUUUUUCUGAAGACUCUUUCACCACGUUUUCCCUUUUCACCCAUAAUGGGUGGACUUAUGAGCACACCCGCCCACACCGUGCUGAGUACUCAGCAGUUUUUCACCAAAAACAGCAUAUUGUCCAUGUGCCACCCUCCCUACUCACCCAGUCUCCUCCCAAGCAACUUUUUUGUUUCCCCAGAUGGGAAAAAAGUCCUCAAAAGGAAAUAUUUUGCCAAUGUGGAAGAGGUGAGACAAAAAAUGCCAGAACCACUAAAAGGCAUCAAAACUGAUGGGUCCAAAAACUGCUUUGAGCAGUGGUGGAAAAAAGAUUUUGACAGGAGUAUUGCAUCAAAUGGAGAGUGCUCCCAGUGUGACGGAAGUUUAAACAUGUAAGAAUAAGUACACAUUUUUAAUAACAAAAUUUCAGUUUCAGAAUAUAUGUAUGUGUGUGUGAAUAUAACCUAUUUGUCAAGCCAAAUAUACAGGUAUUCAGAACUGAAAAAGAAAAAACAUAAAAAUUGCUGAAAACCAUUACAUCUUUAAAGAGAGAUGUUUUAGUUGGAUUAAUAGAGGAGUGUGUGGAUUCUUCCAUAGCCAGGUUAUAAAAUACCUAGGUUUAUAAGACUAAAGAUUGAUUGGUGUGAAUUAAGAGAAACCUGCAUGAAUGCUCACCAAGAAAAGCUAGAUUUAAGUUUAUUCAUUCAUUUCUUCAUUCAGCCAUUGUUUAUUGAACAUCACCCUGUGCUGAUCACAAUAUUUUGUGUUGGUGGAAUAAAUGCUGAACAGUCAGACAUUGUUUAUUGAGCUUACAUUCCAGCAAGGAAACCAAAUAAUAGGUUGAAGUGUGACUUUGGAUACCUUACAAUCUGUUCAAUCGAUGAAUCUGUUUUCUCAACUACAAAAUAAGAAUUUCUUUCUUUCAGGAUCGCUGCAUUCUACUGCGUUUGAAGUGGGGAAAGGAACUAUAAACCUAAAUUAUGGCCAAUCAGAUUGUACUCACAGCUCAACUGCUGGACAAAUUGCAGCUCAUGAAAUUUGCUAUGGGUCAGGAGACUGCGUAAUUUUAUUUUAAUCAGUCUUAUUUGAGCUGGAAUACCGUUGCCUCAAAUCCUCUGAACGGAAUUCCAGAGGGGAUAUAGACCGGUCUGAUUUCCCCCCUUCUCACCUCUUUGUGGUUUUUUUUUUCUCCAUUUUUGUAGUAAAGUGUUUCAGGUCUUUGGGAGAUAAUGAGAAAUAAAAGUUGAGAUGGUCAAAUUGUAUUUUCAUUCUGAACGAAAGCAAGUCUGAGCUUAUGUUCACGGCAGCCUUUCUUGCAAUGCAGGAUUACGCUGCCCAAACAUCCGCAGCGUUCAUUUCCAUAGAGAUGUCCCAGUCAGACGGGGCCCCAAGAACCGCAAAUGCUCUGCUGAUCCGCAGCCCUCGCCUUCUGUUCGGAUUUCUGGAACAUUAUUCCAUGUCACAGGAGGCCUCCCAGGCUGCUGCGAAGUCAGAUGGACCCACAUCCCAACCACACAGCUGCCUCCCCAGCAAGGGGGAGAGAAUAAGGCCUUUCAGAGUCACCCAAGUAUGAGAAGGAGACAGCAUUAACACUUCAGAAAUCCCCAGGAUCUGUAAUGUGAUCUUCACCACAGCUUACAUCACAGACUCAGACCUGAAGGGAGGGGCAGGCAAAUGGUCAUUGUGAGAGGCCAAGAUGCAGGGUCAGGACAUCACCCACUCUUUCCUCUAACUCUGAAGCCCAGUCUGUGGAAGAAUCUUCAUAGUGGUGAAAUAUAUGAACAGGGACAGUUUGCUUUCCAAGGAAGAGAAUUCGGCAACAGCCUCACCUGCGGUCACACAUCAGCUCACGACUCAGGAGUCCAGCGCAAGCUGGUUGUGCAGAGCCCUUGCCUUUCAGUCCUCAUGCACAUGCCAGAGGCAUAAACAGACCUUCUAGAGAACCCGGCAUGAAAUAAUGGUAAAGCAGGGGAAGAAAGAAUUGAGAAGAUAUUAUUCACAGAGACUUGCAUGAGCCAAGUCUUUGAAGCAGCUACCAAGUUCUCAGUGAGAACUUCAAUUUCUAAGACAGACUGGCAACAGUAAGGCAGAGCACUGGUCCCAGAGGUACCUUGGGCAAAUCACACUACAUACUACAGUUACCGCUGGUGACUCUGCAAAUCAAAUACUACAGUUACCGCUGGUGACUUUGCAAAUCACAUACUACAGUUAGCGCUGGUGACUUUGAACUCCUUGAGAAAAAAGUAGAAUUCCAGUUUUUAGAAUGAGGGCACCCAGAUAAAGCUACAUUUGUAGAAAGUGUCUUAUUGCUGAGUCAGGACUUGUGCUGGAUAAAGUACCUCGGUCCACCCACAUGUGCAGGUUAGAUUAGAUGAAUCUAAUGUCCUAGGGAAUACGGACUCAUGGUUACUGGUGGUCUGGUUCUCCAAACAUCUGCAUCAGGGAACCUGAGAUUCAAACACAGGUCCCUAGACCUUUACUGAAUUAGAAUCAAUGAGGGGGACUUCAGGAGAGUUUAUAAUAAAUCCUCUACAACUUCCAUGUGGACACUGAACUUUGAGAACCAUUGAGCUCAACUUUCAGGGAGUACUCAAAAAAUGCUGGUAAGGGGAUGAGAUGCCUGCAAAGGGAGCAUCUAGCACCAGGUGUGAGGAGGUAGGCAGGAGUGGCAGCUCCACUGGGCAACACUGUUGCAAUUGUCAUAUACAUUCUUAAAAGUAAUCCAGAUUCACUUAUUCCUUAUUUUUGUCUUUUGGGGUUUUAUAGCUUUUAAAAAUAACUUGAAAGGCAAGUAAAUUUUUAAAUAAAAAUAUAACACUGGCUUAGAUAAUUAGCCUUGGGUUCUAUUUCUAAGAAGCAUUAAAACAUGAUUAACUUUCUUGACAUGAAUCUAAGAAAAUAAACUUCCUUCCUUACUUUAAAGGAGCUCAACAUGCGAAUUUGUCUAAAUCCUCAAAGGUAAAGUCCAAAUAUUUACUCCUUAAUGAGUGAAUUAGAAUAGCCAUCUCUACAUUAAACCUACCUGUUUUUAAGCUUAAUUGGAACUCCCCGGAAACUAAUAAUGGUGUAUCUAAUAAGCACUAAUAAUUUUCACUUAAUGCCUUUGCCCCUUUAUCUAAAGACUUUUAUAAGAAAGAGAAAAGAAGAGAUAAACAAACAAGGGGAAAAAAAAGUUUAUCCAAGAACUGCUUCUCUUUAUUAAUUUACUUUUUU